CGGUUCUUAUACCGGCGGCGGCGGCGGCGGCUGCGGCGGCGGCGCUCGGACGGUGACGUGGUGGCUGCGCUGCUCGUGCUACUGGCGCUUGCGCUGCCCAGCGUCUGCGGAGACUGGGCGGCUGGGGCGGCGCUGGAGGUGAGAGGAUGGACCUGAAGAGUUCCUGCGGGUGGCAGAGCUUGGGAGUGAGGUCCUCGAGGUGUCGGAGGGCCCUAUGAGUUCCCACCCAACCAGAGCUGUCCCCCAGGUGUCCCUGAGGUGCCUCUGUCCUGGUGUCCGACUCCCUGAGGCCCUGCAUGGUUGAUCCCGCCUGAAGAAUCGGCCGUUGUCCUCCAGUGGGCGCUGGAACCAAGUGUGUAAUGUCCCUUUAUGGAAUGCCUCCCGGCCAGGGCGUUGGCCCAGCAGUGUGGCAGCUCUCUGGAAGACACAGAGCCCCAACGAGCUCCACUUUUCGAAGGACACUUGCAAAGAUCUGAAAAGCUGGGUCGCACGUGUUUGUUCUGCAUGGAGUGAAGUCCCGCGAGAAGAAGGAGGCAAGGACAACAAUGCAGUAGGAAGAGGAUGCAUACACUGUCAUGGGUUAAUCUCUCACGCCUCCAGACUGCUUCCAGAUGCAAUCAUCGUCCAGUUCCUCCACAGUAUGAACAGCUGUGUUUCCUCUCCGUUGCUGGAUAACAAGGUGCAAACGCCACAGCCUGGACUGAAAGACCUUGCACGGUGUGUCUUUUGCUGGACUCUGUUCCUGGGUCCUCCUUUCCCUGCAUCACACAAAGUUUCAUGACAUCACCAGACCACACCCUCUUCUAACUCUGAGACAUUGCAUGUGUAGUUCCUUCUCCUGAAAGGCCCUUCACUCCUCUUUCAUGCUUACCCAGGAACUGAUCCCGGAGGUGGGUUGUGUGUUCAUUGUAUGGAUUUCAGUGGAAGAGGAAUAUUCCUUUGUUUGUUCAUAGACACACUCAGCCAGUACUGUUGAAUAUCUGCUACAUGCCUGCACUGUCAUAAGCUCCUGAGGAGCAUCCAUGAGCACAACUUCAAAAAUCUUUGUUUCAAAGGAUUGGAAUACGCAUUUUUCUAAAAGAUGAUAUACAAAUGGUUAAUGAGCACAUGAAAAGAUGUUCAAUAUCAGUAGCCAUUAGGAAAAUGCAAAUCAAAACUAUAAAUUAGAUAUUACUUCAUACCUAUUGGGAUAGCUGUUAUAAAACAGAACAAAAAUAUAAAGUAAGUAUUCGUGAGGAUGUGGAGAACUUGGACCCCUUUCGAACUGUGUAUAAAAUGGUGUAGUGCUGUGAAAAAAAAUUGGUAUUUCCUCCAAAAGUUGCAAUUACCAGAUAAUCUGGCUUUUUCAGUCCCAGACAUAUUCCAAAAGAACUUGAAAGCAUGGACUUAACACAGUUACAUGAACACCAAUGUUCACAGCAGCCAAGAGGCAGAAACAACCUGGGUUCCUAUCAAGUGAUGAAUGGUUAAACAAAAGGUGGUUGUGAGGAAAAUAGUUUAGUCAAGGCCCCUUGCCUCAGGUCCAGUUGGGGGUGGUGCAGCACCUUCUUUGUAAACAAGUUGUGUGGGGGUGGAGUUAGUGCGCAUGCCACCUGGGUACUUUUAGCUUGCUGCUAUUCUUGUGUGUUCUUCAGUGUGUGAAGCAGCAGCAGGCAGAGCUCACGUCUAAAAAUAGAGCACAUUUACUUUGCUGGCAGCUGCUCAGUUUUUCUUUGGACUUUGCCAGCAGCUGUUCAGUUUCUCUUUGGAAUGCCUAGCUCUUAGAUGUGUGUGUGCUGAAUAAAUAUUAUUCUUUCUUCAACCAAGGCUUCAAGGACCUUUUCCUGUUACCUAGCUCAUAGACCUGCAUGUGAAGGGCUUGUGAACAGGCUCGAGGGGUCUGUGAGCUCUGGACCCAGCCCUAGCUCUGCAGUGGUGUAUCCAUACAAUGGAAUAUUCUCCAGCAUUUAAAAGGAGUGAACUGAAGACUCAUACAUGCUACAACCUGAGUAAAUCUUGAAAGAGUAUGCCAAGUGAAAGAAGCUAGACACAAAAGGACAAUAGUGUAUGAUUCUGCUUAUAUGAGCUACCCAGAAUAAGCAAAUUUGUAGAGACAGAGAUAAAAUGGUAGUUGCCAGAUUGAGAGAAACAGGGUGGAGACAGGGAGUUAUUGUGCAACUGGUAAAGAGUUUCUGUUUGGGGUGAUGAAAAGUUCUGGAAAUUGUGGUGUUGGUUACACAACAUUGCAAAUGUACUUAAUGUCACAUAAUUAUACUCUGUAAAAUGUUUAAAAUGGCAGAUUUUAUGUUACAUAUAUUUUAUCACAAUAAAGGAAAAGAAUCUCUGUCA